rnacentral:rRNA from 1 species
AUUGAACGCUGGCGGCAGGCCUAACACAUGCAAGUCGAGCGGUAACAGAAAGUAGCUUGCUACUUUGCUGACGAGCGGCGGACGGGUGAGUAAUGCUUGGGAACAUGCCUUGAGGUGGGGGACAACAGUUGGAAACGACUGCUAAUACCGCAUAAUGUCUACGGACCAAAGGGGGCUUCGGCUCUCGCCUUUAGAUUGGCCCAAGUGGGAUUAGCUAGUUGGUGAGGUAAUGGCUCACCAAGGCAACGAUCCCUAGCUGGUUUGAGAGGAUGAUCAGCCACACUGGAACUGAGACACGGUCCAGACUCCUACGGGAGGCAGCAGUGGGGAAUAUUGCACAAUGGGCGAAAGCCUGAUGCAGCCAUGCCGCGUGUGUGAAGAAGGCCUUCGGGUUGUAAAGCACUUUCAGUCAGGAGGAAAGGGUGUGAGUUAAUACCUCAUAUCUGUGACGUUACUGACAGAAGAAGCACCGGCUAACUCCGUGCCAGCAGCCGCGGUAAUACGGAGGGUGCGAGCGUUAAUCGGAAUUACUGGGCGUAAAGCGUACGCAGGCGGUUUGUUAAGCGAGAUGUGAAAGCCCCGGGCUCAACCUGGGAACUGCAUUUCGAACUGGCAAACUAGAGUGUGAUAGAGGGUGGUAGAAUUUCAGGUGUAGCGGUGAAAUGCGUAGAGAUCUGAAGGAAUACCGAUGGCGAAGGCAGCCAC